rnacentral:rRNA from 1 species
UACGUAGGGGGCAAGCGUUGUCCGGAUUUAUUGGGCGUAAAGAGCUCGUAGGCGGUUGGGUAAGUCGGGUGUGAAAACUCCAGGCUCAACUUGGAGAUGCCACCCGAUACUGCUCUGACUUGAGUUCGGUAGGGGAGUGGGGAAUUCCUGGUGUAGCGGUGGAAUGCGCAGAUAUCAGGAGGAACACCAAUAGCGAAGGCAGCUCGCUGGGACGUUACUGACACUAAGGCGCGAAAGCGUGGGGAGCGAACAGG